rnacentral:rRNA from 1 species
GACGAACCGUCCUAACGUUGUUCGGAAUCACUGGGCUUAAAGGGCGCGUAGGCGGCCCUGUCAGUCGGGGGUGAAAUCCCACGGCCCAACCGUGGAAGUGCCUCCGAUACUGCAGGGCUCGAGGGGGGUAGGGGCAGCGGGAACUUCCGGUGGAGCGGUGAAAUGCGUUGAUAUCGGGAGGAACACCGGUGGCGAAGGCGGGUCUCUGGGCCGAUACUGACGCUGAGGAGCGAAAGCGUGGGGAGCGAACAGG